AAGGUCUAGUGUGGAUUUUAUUCAAGAGCAGAUUCAUGCUUGUGUGAAUGGUUAUCAGAAGGUCUAGUGUGGAUUGUAUUCAAGAGCAGAUUCAUGCUUGUGUGAAUGGUUAUCAGAAGGUCUAGUGUGGAUUUUAUUCAAGAGCAGAUUCAUGCUUGUGUGAAUGGUUAUGAGAAGGUCCAGUGUGGAUUUGAUUCAAGAGCAGAUCAUUGCUUGUGUGAAUGGUUAUGAGAAGGUCCAGUGAGGAGUUGAUUUAGAAACAAAUUCAUUAUUUUGUUUGAUUUCUAUGAGAAACUCACAGACAACUGAUUUAUGAUGAUGAAUGUGUCAUCAUUCCUUCUAUUGAGGGAAGAGGAAUUUUGAAUAAAAGAAUCUCCAUGGAAGAUGGUACCCCACUACACAUUGCGUGGACUGUCAAGACAUUGCUGGGACAUUCUUUGAGAGAUUGAGCAAUCAACACAGUCUCCAGAUAUUACCUUUGUUGAUUUAUAUGUAUAUAUAAUUUUUGGCUAUGAGAUCUUCUUAAGUCAUUGAUUUUCCAUUACAUAUUCAUUACCUUGAAGAUAUCAAAUGACACCAACUAAACGUCACAGUAUCAUUCAGCUGCAUAUCACGUUAUCUCAUGAUUGAAAGCAGUACUGGACAUGAACUGUGAUAAUUAUUCUCAUUAUUGCAGUCAUCUUUCCCAUCAUCUCGUUAGUUCAUCUACCAGAUAAUAUUGCUCUCUGUUAAUAUUUUUUUUCAUAUUUUGGUUGUUAUAAUAGGCCAACUAACUUCAUAAUAAUCCUGCGUGAAUAGAUUGAUAGAUUACGUGCCAAAUAAAAACUCUAAUAAGGUAAAAUUUCUUCUUCCAUUUAUUUUACUCUCUCUUUGUAUAUAGAACAAUAUCUAUACAUAAUUGAACUGAUUUCCAAAAAGCUUGGCAUUUUAAUUGUCGUGAACAUUUUUUUUCUAGAAUUGCUCUACAAAAGUGUAUGAUAUUAGUUCUCACACUAUAUAUGAAAGUAGCUUAACUUUCCUGUUGCAUUAAAAAUUUGUUCGUAUUUAUCACACAUUUGUAUUUUCCUUUCGGAUCAAGGAAAGUACGUGUACUUUUUUAUUAUUGUUGAGACAUAAUAUGAACACGUUUUGGAAAUAAGACCUAAAAUGUGCUCUAAUACCUUACCAGUAUGUUGUAUUAUUAACCUGAAAUAUCUCUUACUUACAUGAGGAAUUGAUAAAAUAUUCUAGCAAGUGUUUAGUUUGAAUAUGUUGUACUUUAAUACCUUACCAGUGUAUUAAUAACCUGAAAUAUCUCUUACUUACAUGAGGAAUUGAUAAAAUAUUGUAGCAAGUGUUUAGUUUGAAUAUGUUGUACUUUAAUACCUUA